rnacentral:rRNA from 1 species
AUUGAACGCUGGCGGCAUGCCUUACACAUGCAAGUCGAACGGCAGCACGGGUGCUUGCACCUGGUGGCGAGUGGCGAACGGGUGAGUAAUACAUCGGAACGUACCUUAUCGUGGGGGAUAACGCAGCGAAAGUUGCGCUAAUACCGCAUACGCCCUGAGGGGGAAGGCGGGGGACCGUAAGGCCUCGCGCGAUUAGAGCGGCCGAUGUCUGAUUAGCUUGUUGGUGAGGUAAAAGCUCACCAAGGCGAUGAUCAGUAGCUGGUCUGAGAGGACGAUCAGCCACACUGGGACUGAGACACGGCCCAGACUCCUACGGGAGGCAGCAGUGGGGAAUUUUGGACAAUGGGGGCAACCCUGAUCCAGCAAUGCCGCGUGAGUGAAGAAGGCCUUCGGGUUGUAAAGCUCUUUUGUCAGGGAAGAAACAGCUGCUCUAACACAGUCUGCGAAUGACGGUAUCUGAAGAAUAAGCACCGGCUAACUACGUGCCAGCCGCCGCCGUAA